UGUAGUUGCCCAUCAAUCGCUCAGUAGUCAGUGUAGAUUCUGUCUUUACAAUCAGCAGCUACAUCUGGCUACUGGGUCUCUGAUGACAUCUCAUAUCU
ensembl:miRNA microRNA 222